CAAAGAAGGUAAUAAUCCUGUAGUCGAAAAUGUUGUCUCUCUUGAGUGGAUCCUGAGUACGACGGAGCACGUGAAAUUCCGUCGGAAUCUGGGAGGACCAUCUCCUAAGGCUAAAUACUCUCUAGUGACCGAUAGUGAACCAGUACCGUGAGGGAAAGGUGAAAAGCACCCCGGAAGGGGAGUGAAAUAGAACCUGAAACCGUGUGCUUACAAGUAGUCAGAGCCCGUUAAUGGGUGAUGGCGUGCCUUUUGUAGAAUGAACCGGCGAGUUACGAUUUGAUGCAAGGUUAAGCAGUAAAUGUGGAGCCGUAGCGAAAGCGAGUCUGAAUAGGGCGUUUAGUAUUUGGUCGUAGACCCGAAACCAGGUGAUCUACCCUUGGUCAGGUUGAAGUUCAGGUAACACUGAAUGGAGGACCGAACCGACUUACGUUGAAAAGUGAGCGGAUGAACUGAGGGUAGCGGAGAAAUUCCAAUCGAACCUGGAGAUAGCUGGUUCUCUCCGAAAUAGCUUUAGGGCUAGCCUCAAGUGAUGAUUAUUGGAGGUAGAGCACUGUUUGGACGAGGGGCCCCUCUCGGGUUACCGAAUUCAGACAAACUCCGAAUGCCAAUUAAUUUAACUUGGGAGUCAGAACAUGGGUGAUAAGGUCCGUGUUCGAAAGGGAAACAGCCCAGACCACCAGCUAAGGUCCCAAAAUAUAUGUUAAGUGGAAAAGGAUGUGGCGUUGCCCAGACAACUAGGAUGUUGGCUUAGAAGCAGCCAUCAUUUAAAGAGUGCGUAAUAGCUCACUAGUCGAGUGACACUGCGCCGAAAAUGUACCGGGGCUAAACAUAUUACCGAAGCUGUGGAUUGUCCUUUGGACAAUGGUAGGAGAGCGUUCUAAGGGCGUUGAAGCAUGAUCGUAAGGACAUGUGGAGCGCUUAGAAGUGAGAAUGCCGGUGUGAGUAGCGAAAGACGGGUGAGAAUCCCGUCCACCGAUUGACUAAGGUUUCCAGAGGAAGGCUCGUCCGCUCUGGGUUAGUCGGGUCCUAAGCUGAGGCCGACAGGCGUAGGCGAUGGAUAACAGGUUGAUAUUCCUGUACCACCUAUAAUCGUUUUAAUCGAUGGGGGGACGCAGUAGGAUAGGCGAAGCGUGCGAUUGGAUUGCACGUCUAAGCAGUAAGGCUGAGUAUUAGGCAAAUCCGGUACUCGUUAAGGCUGAGCUGUGAUGGGGAGAAGACAUUGUGUCUUCGAGUCGUUGAUUUCACACUGCCGAGAAAAGCCUCUAGAUAGAAAAUAGGUGCCCGUACCGCAAACCGACACAGGUAGUCAAGAUGAGAAUUCUAAGGUGAGCGAGCGAACUCUCGUUAAGGAACUCGGCAAAAUGACCCCGUAACUUCGGGAGAAGGGGUGCUCUUUAGGGUUAACGCCCAGAAGAGCCGCAGUGAAUAGGCCCAAGCGACUGUUUAUCAAAAACACAGGUCUCUGCUAAACCGUAAGGUGAUGUAUAGGGGCUGACGCCUGCCCGGUGCUGGAAGGUUAAGAGGAGUGGUUAGCUUCUGCGAAGCUACGAAUCGAAGCCCCAGUAAACGGCGGCCGUAACUAUAACGGUCCUAAGGUAGCGAAAUUCCUUGUCGGGUAAGUUCCGACCCGCACGAAAGGCGUAACGAUUUGGGCACUGUCUCAACGAGAGACUCGGUGAAAUCAUAGUACCUGUGAAGAUGCAGGUUACCCGCGACAGGACGGAAAGACCCCGUGGAGCUUUACUGUAGCCUGAUAUUGAAAUUCGGCACAGCUUGUACAGGAUAGGUAGGAGCCUUUGAAACGUGAGCGCUAGCUUACGUGGAGGCGCUGGUGGGAUACUACCCUAGCUGUGUUGGCUUUCUAACCCGCACCACUUAUCGUGGUGGGAGACAGUGUCAGGCGGGCAGUUUGACUGGGGCGGUCGCCUCCUAAAAGGUAACGGAGGCGCUCAAAGGUUCCCUCAGAAUGGUUGGAAAUCAUUCAUAGAGUGUAAAGGCAUAAGGGAGCUUGACUGCGAGACCUACAAGUCGAGCAGGGUCGAAAGACGGACUUAGUGAUCCGGUGGUUCCGCAUGGAAGGGCCAUCGCUCAACGGAUAAAAGCUACCCCGGGGAUAACAGGCUUAUCUCCCCCAAGAGUUCACAUCGACGGGGAGGUUUGGCACCUCGAUGUCGGCUCAUCGCAUCCUGGGGCUGUAGUCGGUCCCAAGGGUUGGGCUGUUCGCCCAUUAAAGCGGUACGCGAGCUGGGUUCAGAACGUCGUGAGACAGUUCGGUCCCUAUCCGUCGUGGGCGUAGGAAAUUUGAGAGGAGCUGUCCUUAGUACGAGAGGACCGGGAUGGACAUACCUCUGGUGUACCAGUUGUCGUGCCAACGGCAUAGCUGGGUAGCUAUGUGUGGACGGGAUAAGUGCUGAAAGCAUCUAAGCAUGAAGCCCCCCUCAAGAUGAGAUUUCCCAACUUCGGUUAUAAGAUCCCUCAAAGAUGAUGAGGUUAAUAGGUUCGAGGUGGAAGCAUGGUGACAUGUGGAGCUGACGAAUACUAAUCGAUCGAAGACUUAAUCAA
rnacentral:rRNA from 1 species